CGUUUUCUCCCCAUUCAGACUCCACCACAUACUACACAACGCCAACAGCAACGGCGCCGUCGUGUCCAUACAUGCACUCCACAUUUACUCAGAGUCAGUCAAUUGGAGUUUUUCAAUCGCGAUCGGUCUACGGUCAAAUCGCGCGCCAGUUCGUGUUGCGGAAAAAUAGUAAUAAACGCGUAAGAAAUUUAAAGUAAAAGUGCUUUUUAAAUUUUAUUUUUAUUUAAUUUAAAAUCUUUAGUCAGAGUUGUGCAAAUUAAAUAAAAACUAAAAUUAAGUGAAAAGCUGUAAGUGUUGUAGUGAAAGCAAAAAAUGUGUGUAAAUAAAUAGUGUGCAUAGGUAAUUUUGUUUUUUGUGUUUAUGUUUGUUAAUGGUGUUAUUAGUGAAGUGAGUGAAAGUCGAAUAUUCUAUAUCAUUCAUAAAUAGUGGCGUAGUGAAUUAGUGAAUAAAUUUCUGUUUAAACAUGUUUCAUAAAAUGUAAAGUCAAGCGUUCGUUUUGUUCGAUGUUCGUCUCUCGUCGUUUACUAAUUAACCAACAACGUCGUUCGUAUAACAAACAAACAAUAUCAAACGAAGAGUAAUAGUUAUAUUUUGCUUUGAGACUUAAAGGCUAUGUAGCUGACUCUAUACAGUAAAAAACAAGGACAUACAGAUAACAUGGAAAUGAUCAACACCGCGAUAUGCGCUCUUCUGUACUUCCGCAUUCGUCGUGAAAUUGGACAAGUGGUCCAAAUAUCGCGGCUGGCAUUUACGGUGUAUUCAACGUUUUGGCCUACGCUGCCGGCUCAUAUUUGCUGUACUUGUC